AUUGAACGCUGGCGGCAGGCUUAACACAUGCAAGUCGAACGGUAACAGGAAGAAAGCUUGCUUUCUUUGCUGACGAGUGGCGGACGGGUGAGUAAUGCUUGGGAAUCUGUCAUGGAGGGGGAUAACUACGGGAAACUGUAGCUAAUACCGCAUAAUAUCGAGAGAUUAAAUGUGUGGGACCGCAAGGCCACAUGCCAUGAAGUGAGCCCAAGUGGGAUUAGAUAGUUGGUGAGGUAAUGGCUCACCAAGUCGGCGAUCUCUAGCUGGUCUGAGAGGAUGACCAGCCACACUGGGACUGAGACACGGCCCAGACUCCUACGGGAGGCAGCAGUGGGGAAUAUUGCACAAUGGGCGCAAGCCUGAUGCAGCCAUGCCGCGUGAAUGAAGAAGGCCUUCGGGUUGUAAAGUUCUUUCGGUGGUGAGGAAGGUUAGCGUGUUAAUAGCACGUUGACUUGACGUUAGCCACAGAAGAAGCACCGGCUAACUCCGUGCCAGCAGCCGCGGUAAUACGGAGGGUGCGAGCGUUAAUCGGAAUAACUGGGCGUAAAGGGCACGCAGGCGGUGACUUAAGUGGGGUGUGAAAGCCCUGGGCUUAACCUAGGAAUUGCAUUUCAUACUGGGUCGCUAGAGUAUUUUAGGGAGGGGUAGAAUUCCACGUGUAGCGGUGAAAUGCGUAGAGAUGUGGAGGAAUACCGAAGGCGAAGGCAGCCCCUUGGGAAUAUACUGACGCUCAUGUGCGAAAGCGUGGGGAGCAAACAGG
rnacentral:rRNA from 1 species